CUUUUCAUAGACGUCCAACCCUUCAGGAGAUAAACAUAUCACGCAGGGAAGCCACAGAACGCCUGACUUCUGAUCUUUCUAAAAUUUCUGAUUGGGGCAGAGCAAACUUGGUAUUGUUCAAUGCCUCAAAAAGUCAAUUCCUCCAUCUAUCAACUCGACACAAUCUUCCAGACAACUAUCCCCUCUUCUUCAAUGACACUCAACUGUCCCCCUCUUCUACACUGAACAUCCUCGGUCUGUCCUUUACUUAUAAUCUGAACUGGAAACUUCACAUCUCAUCUCUAGCUAAAACAGCUUCUAUGAAGUUAGGUGUUCUGAGACGUCUCCGCCAGUUUUUCUCACCCCCCCAGCUGCUAACUCUGUACAAGGGCCUUAUCCGUCCAUGUAUGGAGUAUGCUUCACAUGUCUGGGGGGGUUCCACUCAUACUGCUCUUCUAGACAGGGUGGAAUCAAAAGCUUUUCGUCUCAUCAACUCCUCUCCUCUAACUGACUGUCUUCAGCCUCUCUCACACCGCCGCAAUGUUGCAUCUCUAGCUGUCUUCUACCGCUAUUUUCAUGCUAACUGCUCUUCUGAUCUUGCUAACUGCAUGCCUCCCCUCCUUCCGCGGCCUCGCUGCACAAGACUUUCUUCUUUCUCUCACUCCUAUUCUGUCCACCUCUCUAACGCAAGAGUUAACCAGUAUUCUCAAUCAUUCAUCCCUUUCUCUGGUAAACUCUGGAACUCCUUGCCUGCUUCUGUAUUUCCACCUUCCUAUGACUUGAAUUCCUUCAAGAGGGAGGUUUCAAGACACUUAUCCACCAAUUUUUGACCACUGCUUUGACCCUUUUAAGGGACUGGCAUUUCAGUGGGCAUUUUUUUUUUAUUAGAUUUUUGUUGCCCUUGGCCAGUAUCCUUCCUACAUAAAAAAAAAAAAAAAAAAAAAAAAAAAAAAAUCAAUGUGAUUUUCAGACACACUUCAGUCACAAGAUGAAUGCAGUCAGCUACAGCAUGACAUAGACAAGCUAUAGACAGUUGAGAGAGGAAGAAGUCAGUGGCACCCUCACCUCAGACAAGACAAAGCUAACAAUUGAUAAUGAAAGACACACUUCAGUCACAAGAUGAAUGCAGUCAGCUACAGCAUGACAUAGACAAGCUAUAGACAGUUGAGAGAGGAAGAAGUCAGUGGCACCCUCACCUCAGACAAGACAAAGCUAACAAUUGAUAAUGAAAGACACACUUCAGUCACAAGAUGAAUGCAGUCAGCUACAGCAUGACAUAGACAAGCUAUAGACAGUUGAGAGAGGAAGAAGUCAGUGGCACCCUCACCUCAGACAAGACAAAGCUAACAAUUGAUAAUGAAAGACCAGCAGCAGCAGCAGCAGCAGCAGCAGCAGCACACACAAGAGGUGUUUUCUGUAUGAUGAUGAUGAUGGAAAAAGCACAUCUCGAAAGGAUGUUAUAAGCAGGGCAACGUAAUGAAAUUCAGUGAAUGGACGUGUGUGCGUGGCUGCAAUCACUAUGAAAUUAAGUUGAAAAUAAGAAAUAUAUUACUUUACAGAAAGGAAUGCUUAGAGUGAAUGAAAUUACUGUAAUGAAUGAAUGGAAAUAAAGUUGUGAGUCAUUAAAUGAUUAGGAAAAGAAGCUGUGAAUAGGUGCAUUAUUGUUAUUACUGAAAGGAAGAAUAUUUGUAGGAUAUGUCAUGUAUAUUAUCAAAGUGUUUUCAUUCUUACUUUCUUCUUUCUCUUUCAUCUUUUCUUAGUAUAUUUAAGUGAAUUUCUCUCUCUCUCUCUCUCUCUCUCUCUCUCUCUCUCUCUCUCUCUCUCUCUCUCUCUCUCUCUCUCUCUCUCUCUCUCUCUCUCCAGCCAUCUCUUCUCUCUCCUUCCAUCUUUUUCUUAGUAUAUUUAAGUGAAUUUCUCAGAUUCUCUCUCUCUCUCUCUCUCUCUCUCUCUCUCUCUCUCUCUCUCUCUCUCUCUCUCUCUCU